rnacentral:rRNA from 1 species
GACGAACCGUGCGAACGUUGUUCGGAUUCACUGGGCUUAAAGGGCGCGUAGGCGGACUCGCAAGUCUGUGGUGAAAGCCCCCAGCUCAACUGGGGAAGUGCCGUGGAUACUGCAAGUCUGGAGGAUGGUAGGGGCAUCUGGAACGCUGGGUGGAGCGGUGAAAUGCGUUGAUAUCCAGCGGAACUCCGGUGGCGAAGGCGAGGUGCUGGACCCUUUCUGACGCUGAGGCGCGAAAGCCAGGGGAGCAAACGGG